rnacentral:lncRNA from 1 species
CAACUGAUAAAUGAGUAAGACUAAAAGAGAUGCCGUCAGUGAGACCUGGGCUGGAGUCCAUGCUCCUUCCUUGCUUGCACAUAGGAAGCAGAAAGGAUGAGCCAAGAGCAGAUGCUGCAGUGAUCACAAUAGUGUGUACAGAAUUAAUCUUUAUGGCAGAGGUACAGUAUAUCCAGGCAAAUGAUCUCUGCAAGGCAGACAGAGGACCAGAUCCUGGGCAUAGAAUUCCAAGGAACAUCCAACAAGAAAAAUACAGCCAACUUCUUCCACCAUGUAGCAGAUUCCCACUAGAUCCAGCUGCAGAGCAUGGCCAUGGCUCAUCUCCCCAUGCCUUUGCCUUUACAGUGUUCCCAGAGUGGUUCAGUAAAACAAGUGACUCGGCACACUACAUUGGAAACUUGGCUUGCUCAGCUCCUGGUGACUGAUUCUGAAUUCUUUCUGGAAACAAGAUGAAACCUUCCUAACAAAAAGGAAAAAGGAGUCUUCACCUCCAGGCUGCGGCCACUUUCCCUCCUUCAUGAACUAGAGAUGCAGUCACCCCACAAUCUGAGGGUAAGAUGUUCUGUAUUAGACUUUCAAAAGAAGCAGAACUCAUUUGCAAAUAUUUUGCAGGGCCCUGUAGCCCUCUUCAGGGGCACAUCGGGCAGAAGUGUCAGCUUGAGAAAUCCAGGACUUCUAAGAGAGUAAAACCACAAAGCUCUGAUCUGACCAUGAAUGUUACAUUGCAUUUCAUUAUUGGUUUGGCACACAUUAUAACAGAUGAAUAUAGAGGGCUUCAUCUGUAUCUUGGAAUCUCUGCACUUCUAUUAUCAUGAAAGAUAUUUUAAAGGUUGUUGCCUUGGAUAGAAGAAGAAGAAAAUAACCUUUACUUGUGCAGAUAUUGCACUAAAUAUUGGCAUGUGCAUAAACGGAGGCUGUAGUCAGAAAAUACAAUCCAUAAAGAUUUAGGGGAUGUUGUUCAAAGCACAUAAAUUUAUCCCUUGUUCACAUGCAUGUAUAAAUAUCUGCAUAAGAAAAUCGAGUCUUCGGUGACCAGUCUAGAUCAUGACCUUAUAAAAGCAGCUCCUGUGCAAGAGUCCACUUGACAAUUUCCUAUGCUCUAACCACCUCCUUUCAUUGCAAUCUUAAUGAGGGCUUUCACGUGCACAACAAAAAUGAGAUGAGAGAGUUUGGGGAAACCUCCUUGUCAGGGAAAACCAACACCUUGAAUUAAAGGCAUCAAGUAUUUGAGCCUCUUCUCAGGAUAUAAAGCUAAUAGCAUGCAUUGAACUACUGAAAUACUAUAAAAUAAAGGAGUGCUGUUCCAUAAACGCA